UGGUUUUAGUCGGUUGCCAGUGUUUCUCAAAUGUGCAACAAAUAACAAGGCGUCAACAGUUUUGGAGGCAUUUUAUGGUGCAGUCGAACGUUAUGGUCUCCCCCUUCGUUUGCGUUCGGAUGCUGGUGGAGAGAAUGUUAAAGUAUGGCAGUACAUGAAUGAACACAGAGGUGAGAGAAGUUCAAUAAUAGGCAAGAGCACUCACAAUCAAAGGAUCGAAAGGCUUUGGCGAGACGUUUUUGAGGGAUGUUUGCACCAUUUCUACCAACUAUUCCAUUACCUAGAGGACGAUGGUAAAUUAGACCCUUUAUAGGAGGUACAGUUGUUUGCCCUUCAGUAUGUGUAUACAUCCCGGAUCAACCAGUCGCUCGAAGAAUGGUCAUCGGCAUGGGCUGGUCAUCGUCUUCGUACCGCUGGGAAAACACCGUUCCAGUUGUGGUAUGAUGGCCAAGUGGAGAACCCAGUUGGUAUACCAGAGCAUGAAUUAGACUUGCAUCAUUCUGGAAGUGAUGAUGAAGAAUACGACAAUGAAAUAUCUCAGGUGUGUGUGCAAGAGCCACGAAAUCCCACGAAAGCCACGAAAUGGUAGAGGAUGCUCACCAGCAGCUCAGUGAGGAAAUAGACCCAAUGCGAAGUAGUUCCGAACUUGGUGUUGACGUGUACUUAGAUGUUGUUCAGUUUAUUAUGAACUAUCUUUCGUAGAACUUUUUUAAUGUACCUUUACUAUAGUGUUAUGGUACUAUAUUGUGUUGUGUGAUGUGAAAGUGAUACUUCCCACGCAGUGACAUGCGGUACAGAUUAUAUAUGGCUAAAGAUUCAAUUUAUGAAUUUAUUCAUGUGGAACAGAUGAUACAGUGAUGACUUCAGAUCAUAGGCCUACAUAAGUCUUGUCUUAAAAUUUUAAAUUCUGAUUCUGUGUCGGCUAUGUAAUAGUCAUAUGGGUAGUGUAAUUAUGCCAAAAAAAAAAAAA